CAUAUUUCCCCCGACACCUAUUUCCUCUAGACCGAUAACUUACCCAACUUGUGUUUCAUAUUGGAAUGUAAAUGGAUUUAAAUUUCUAAAUAAACAGGCGGUAAACAAAUUUGAAGGAUGUUUUGGUUCCUUCAGUUUUUUCCAUGCGUGCAUUUAAGUGCAUAUCUUUUUCAGCAGGCAAACUUUUGUUUAUAUUAGACGGAAAGAGUAGGAGGGCGUUUCAGUAGGGAUGAAACGCGGAAGUAUUGUGAAAUUCUUUUCGCAAAGAACAUUCGAACAUUCUAUACGACAGGAAAAUGAGGGUCUUCUUUCAAAGGCGCAAAACGAUCACUCUUGGGAAUUUAGUUUAAACAUAUUUUAUUCCCAGUAAUACAUGUACAAAUUAAAUGCAUACAUCAUAGUUUGAACAAGAUAAGUAGGACAGGAUAAGAAUGAAAGAGUUUAGAAUCUAGAUACAUUUUUGUAAAAUCUUCUUUCAUUAGGGUAUAUAAAGUGUACUUGAAGCUUCCAUCUACAAGCUGUAAAAGAGACAUAUUAUAUUGCUUCGUAGAUUAUCUAUUAGGGAUUGUUCGUUUGGUUUAAGGGGAUGAAAGACAAAUUACGUAUUCUUUGUAUGCGUUUCUGGCGUUCUCCGGUAGUCGUCUGCUAGUUACGGAAAGUCGUCUGCGCGUUGCGUUAUAUAAAAUUUACGUCCGAAGAAUGCCAACUGCGUAACCUCAAGGAAAUUGUGUACAUAUAACAUGUAUUACAUGCGGUAUAAUUAUUGUUUUAAACCAUCGCCUUUAGUUAACAAUAACAGAAGAUUACUAGAGUAAAUGAUUUCACUGAUAGGCAUAUUAAAUACCGAAUCGCGUGGCAAUUUUCGUGGAUACAAAGCUAUUUGCGGUAGUCCGUAGUUCCGCGUGUCGCCAUUAAAACACUUCUUUACACUUUCUGCUGUGAAAUUCGUGUUGAAACAUCCAUAAUGUCCGGCUAAACAAAAUUAAGUGAUGUAAAAAUAAAUUGUUAACGGACGGGAGUGGUUAAAUGAUGUAAAGUUUUUUUUUUUUAGUUUAGAUAUUCUCAACCGUUAUUUUGAAAGAGAUUACGGGUUGCAUGGGGUGCGGGUCGAGGAAAAGAAGCGUUCGGUUCUUGUACCUCAUAAAUCUGUUCAGGUCUUCGUCAGCAUUUAGACUUAAAUACUGCCAUUUAUAACGUUUUCACAGGGUUGUACCCCUCAGAGAAUAUCCCGUGAAAAAGGGGUAUUUAUAUGCAUUUAUCUGCGAGUAUUGUUUCGACGUGAUUGAAUUUCGAGGAUGUGGAACAAUGGUGUCCCAACAAUUCGACCGAUUUUCAUGACACAAAAACAGUACAGUUCUUCUAAAAACAUUUUCAUGAAACAUUUGCAGGUGUGGGAUUUCUUGGACUUGGUAUUUGGUUGUACUUAACUUUACAAGAUUUUCGAGCUGCCAUUGAGCAUGCGCACUUCAUUCUUCCGGCUUAUCUACUCAUAAUUUCCGGCGGAGCUGUUGUGAUAUUUGGAGUGAUUGGGUGUAUAGCGAUUUUUGCUGAAAGCAGAUGUCUGUUAGCAUUUUACUGGGUGUGCAUAAUUUUUGUAUUAGCUGCGGAUGUAGCAACAUGCGUGAAAUCAUUCUUUUUAAAUGACGAGGUAAUUAAUUUAUUUAUUUUACCCUAUUUUCAGUCGUGUCAGCAUCUUCACGUCACAGACGCGAUUCCAGAUAAAACAAAUAGUAUAUAUUGUAGUAAUGCAAGGAAAACACAACAGCUCAUAUUUUUACAAAUCUAUUAAGUUUCAGU
rnacentral:lncRNA from 1 species